UAAAAAAAAAAAAAAAAGAUAUGAAACUUCACAGAAACGCAAUAAGAUUAAGGCUAUAUAUAAGUUUGCUUGUUUUAUUAGAAUGGAGACCGAAAACUCACACAAACCUUUAUUCAAAAUUCUGAUGGCUGUGCGAUCAUUCUCUUACGAUGUGUUCCUCAGCUUCCGAGGGGAAGAUACUCGUUAUUGUUUCACUGGCAAUCUCUACAAUGUCCUUCGCGAAAGGGGAAUUCACACCUUCAUUGAUGACGACGAGCUCCAGAAAGGGGACCAAAUCACGUCAGCACUUCAGGAAGCAAUUGAGAAGUCCAAGAUUUUCAUCAUCGUGCUCUCUGAAAACUACGCAUCUUCCUCCUUUUGCUUAAACGAACUCACUCACAUCCUUAACUUUACUAAGGGGAAGAAUGAUCUGUUGGUUUUGCCAGUUUUUUAUAUAGUGGAUCCUUCAGAUGUCCGACACCACAGAGGUAGUUUUGGAGAAGCACUGGCUAAUCAUGAAAAGAAGUUGAAUUCUACUAACAUGGAGAACCUUGAGACAUGGAAGAUCGCUCUGCACCAAGUUUCUAACAUUUCUGGCUAUCAUUUCCAACAUGAUGGGGACAAAUAUGAAUACAAGUUUAUUAAGGAGAUAGUUGAAUUGGUGUCUAACAAGUUUAAUCGUGAUCUUUUACAUGUUUCGGAUGCCCUGGUUGGGCUAGAGUCACCGGUGCUAGAAGUAAAGUCACUUAUGGAUGUUGGAUCUGAUGAUGUCGUCCAAAUGGUGGGGAUCCAUGGACUUGGCGGAGUGGGUAAAACAACACUUGCUGUCGCAGUCUAUAAUUCCAUUGCUGACCAUUUUGAAGCCUCUUGCUUUCUUGAAAAUGUGAGAGAAACUUCCAACAAAAAGGGAUUACAACAUCUCCAAAGCAUCCUUCUUUCUAAAACAGUUGGAGAGAAGAAAAUUAAGUUAACAAAUUGGAGAGAAGGAAUUCACAUAAUAAAGCGUAAGCUCAAGGAAAAGAAGGUUCUUUUGAUUCUAGAUGAUGUUGACGAACAAAAACAGUUACAAGCAAUUAUUGGCAGCCCUGAUUGGUUUGGUGGUGGAAGUAGAGUCAUCAUCACCACUCGAGAUGAACAUUUGUUAGCACUUCACAAUGUUAAAAUAACAUAUAAGGUGAGAGAGUUGAAUGAGAAACAUGCUCUUCAAUUACUUAGUCAGAAGGCUUUUGAAUUGGAAAAAGAAGUUGAUCCAAGUUACCAUGAUAUUUUGAAUCGAGCGGUAGCUUAUGCUUCAGGCCUUCCGUUGGCUUUAGAAGUGAUAGGUUCCAACUUAUUUGAAAAAAGUAUAGAAGAAUGGGAAUCUGCUCUAAAUGGAUAUGAAAGAAUUCCUGAUAAAAGCAUCUAUAUGAUACUUAAAGUAAGCUAUGAUGCUUUGAAUGAAGAUGAGAAAAGUAUUUUUCUUGACAUUGCUUGUUGCUUCAAAGAUUAUGAAUUGGGAGAGCUCCAAGAUAUACUUUAUGCUCAUUAUGGUCGUUGUAUGAAAUAUCAUAUUGGGGUGUUGGUUAAAAAAUCUCUCAUAAACAUUCAUUGGUGGGGUAAGCUCAUGAGAUUACAUGACUUGAUAGAAGACAUGGGUAAAGAAAUUGUCCGAAGAGAAUCACCAACAGAGCCUGGGAAACGUAGCAGGUUAUGGUCCCAUGAGGAUAUAAAUCAAGUUUUACACGAAAAUAAGGGGACUAGAAAGAUUGAAAUCAUAUGUAUGAAUUCUUCCUCAUUUGGAGAAGAAGUAGAAUGGGAUGGAGAUGCCUUCAAGAAGAUGAAAAAUCUCAAAACACUAAUUAUCAAGAGUGAUUGUUUUUCCAAAGGUCCCAAACAUCUUCCUAAUACUUUAAGAGUAUUGGAAUGGUGGAGAUGUCCUUCACAGGAUUGGCCACAUAAUUUUAACCCAAAGCAACUUGCUAUAUGCAAGUUACCCGAUAGUAGCUUUACAUCACUCGGGUUGGCCCCAUUAUUUGAAAAGAGGCUCGUGAAUUUGACAAGUUUAAUUUUGGACGAGUGUGAUAGUUUAACAGAGAUACCAGAUGUAUCUUGUCUCUCAAAUUUGGAAAAUUUGUCAUUUAGAGGGUGUCCGAAUUUAUUUACAAUUCACCAUUCAGUUGGUUUAUUGGAAAAGCUUAAAAUCUUGGAUGCUGAAUUUUGCCCAGAGCUUAAGAGUUUUCCACCGUUGAAGUUGACCUCUCUCGAAUGGCUUGAACUUUCGUAUUGUUUCAGUCUCGAGAGUUUUCCUGAAAUAUUAGGAAAAAUGGAAAAUAUAACAGAACUUCACUUGAUUGAAUGUCCCAUAACAAAACUCCCACCUUCAUUUCGAAAUCUUACUCGGCUUCAAGUGUUGAGACUGGGACCCGAAACUGCUCCGUUAAUGGACUUUGAUGCUGCCACCCUCAUUUCGAACAUCUGCAUGAUGCCAGAACUAUAUGAUAUUUCAGCUAGCAGUUUGCAAUGGAAGCUAUUGCCUGACGAUGUUUUGAAAUUGACCUCAGUUGUGUGUUCAAGCAUUCAAUCUCUUUCUUUGGAACUGUCAGAUGAGCUUCUUCCGCUAUUUCUCUCAUGUUUUGUAAACGUGAGAAAUUUAAAUCUAUCAUGGAGUAAAUUCACAGUUAUUCCCGAAUGCAUCAAAGAAUGCCGCUUUUUAACUACCCUUACUUUGGAUUAUUGCGAUCGUCUCCAAGAAAUUAGAGGGAUUCCUCCAAACUUGAAAGAAUUCUCUGCAUUAGGAUGCCUAGCUUUGACUUCCUCAAGCAUAGGCAUGAUACUGAAUCAGGAACUGCACGAGGUCGACUUUAGUUUACCAAUACUAAAGAUUCCAGAGUGGUUUGAGUGCCAGAGUCGGGAACCAUGGAGGAUAUUCGAUUAUCACUCAUAUGUAUGUGAAGAUUCUUGGGACGAAUGCGGAAUCCAUGUAUUGAAAGAGUAAAGCAGCAUGGAGGAUAUUCGAUUAACUGAUCCUUUUAGAAAAAGAAAAAUUUGUAGUUCAGAGAUUGCGGUUGGGGAAAAAGCAAAGAUUAGUAGGCAGUGAAGUUGUUGAGACACAAUUUGUAGAGCAGCAACAACAUAUGGGUUUUUUCUCACACGUGUGGAUGAAAGAGGAAUCAAGUUGAGGAGUUGUAUGGUAUCAAGGCUGAUAAAAGACAACACUCUGAGGUAGAAAGGACAAAAGAACACAUGCUAAAUUGUGAGAACAUAGUGUAGAAACUAUUGCUUGAAGGUGUGUUUCUUUUUUCCUUCUCCAUGCAAAGGCUGUAGCUGAACUGUUGAACCACAAUACAAAGGGCAUGACAAGGUGGACGUGAGCUUCUCUUAAAGGAGACAAAGCUGGAUUAAUAUAUAAGCAUUAUAAUUUGAUUACUAUAUUUGAAUGCAUUAUGAAUUUUCAAUAUAAUUUUAAAUGCAUUGAAUAAAUAUCACCGUGUCUAUAUAUAUUGAUAUGGAACCAAAAGCAGAAAACACAGCAUCAGAAACAGAGAAAACGACAACAUCAUACUUAUGGAACCAAGGUGCAAAAAGAAGUAAAGCCCCAUAGGAGAAUUUCAAAACCAUCAUACCUCAGAGACUACGUUUAAGGUGGAGGGUAGAAUUGGUAGAGCAAUCUCAGUGUAAUCUUGCUUGGUUGAUGCUUGUCUGUCCAGAGGAGACAAGUAUAACAAAUUUCUGUUAUUUUGUAACAUUCCUAUGAACAUAAUUCUGUUACUAGGAAUACUACAAGUAUUUAUGUAAAUAACAAGCAAGGUGUGAAAUAAUAUUGCCCUUUUACCUAUAA